rnacentral:rRNA from 1 species
AUUGAACGCUGGCGGCAGGCCUAACACAUGCAAGUCGAACGGCAGCACAGAAGAGCUUGCUCUUUGGGUGGCGAGUGGCGGACGGGUGAGUAAUGUCUGGGAAACUGCCCGAUGGAGGGGGAUAACUACUGGAAACGGUAGCUAAUACCGCAUAACGUCGCGAGACCAAGUGGGGGACCUUCGGGCCUCACACCAUCGGAUGUGCCCAGAUGGGAUUAGCUAGUAGGGGGGGUAAUGGCUCACCUAGGCGACGAUCCCUAGCUGGUCUGAGAGGAUGACCAGCCACACUGGAACUGAGACACGGUCCAGACUCCUACGGGAGGCAGCAGUGGGGAAUAUUGCACAAUGGGCGCAAGCCUGAUGCAGCCAUGCCGCGUGUAUGAAGAAGGCCUUCGGGUUGUAAAGUACUCUCAGCGGGGAGGAAGGCGGUGAGGUUAAUAACCUUGCCGAUUGACGUUACCCGCAGAAGAAGCACCGGCUAACUCCGUGCCAGCCGCCGCGGUAA